UACGUAGGGUGCGAGCGUUAAUCGGAAUUACUGGGCGUAAAGCGUGCGCAGGCGGUUUUGUAAGUCAGAUGUGAAAUCCCCGGGCUUAACCUGGGAACUGCGUUUGAAACUGAAAGGCUAGAGUGUGGCAGAGGGGGGUGGAAUUCCACGUGUAGCAGUGAAAUGCGUAGAGAUGUGGAGGAACACCGAUGGCGAAGGCAGCCCCCUGGGCUAACACUGACGCUCAUGCACGAAAGCGUGGGGAGCAAACAGG
rnacentral:rRNA from 1 species